AAGAGCAGUCAGUGCUUUUAACCACUGAGCCAUCUCUCCAGCCCCAAAGGAUAACUUUUCAGGAUUAUAUUCCUUCUACCAUACCCAGGCAUUGAACUCAGGUAUCAGGCUUGUUGGAAAAUGCUAUCACCUACUGAUCUUUCUUGCUGGCUCCAGUGAAUAUAUUUUUAAUCAUACUAAUCACUAAGCACAAUCCUGAAGUACAUUUUAUUGCAACUGGAUUGAUAAACAUUUUAAAGGUGUGUAUUAGUUAUUUUUUGUUUAUAUGAUACAAUAUCAUGGCCAAAAGCAACUUAAAGAAGAAAGCUUAUUUUGGCUGACAGUUUCAGGAGAUUUUAUAAUGGUGCUGAAUUGGCAGCAACAGGAAACUGAGAGAUUACAUUUCCAUUCACAUGCAGGAAGCAAUGAGUGGAAGCUGGAAGUGGGGCAAAGCUGUGGACUCUCAAAGCCCAUCCCUAAUGACUAACUCCCUCCAGCAAAGCUCCACCUCCGCAACAGCGCCACCAACCGGAGACCAAGGGUUCAAAUAUAUGAGCCCAUAGGGGACAUUUUUUAUUCAUAACACCACAAGGGCUUUAUGCAUUGUUUUUUCCAGCAUCACUUUCAGUAGGAAAAGGGGGGAGGGAUAAAAUUAUAUUUAUUAAUAUGGUUAUAAUGGGGAAUAAAGACUUUUUAGCUAUUAAAAGAAAAUGGUAAAUAUGUGAUGGGCAUCUGGAAGUAUUGAUGGCCAUCACGAAUUUCAAUGUAAAAGCUGUUUCAGAGUUAAACAUGGCAUACUUUCAUUCUUGAAAAUUUCCAUUGAGUAAAUAUAGAUAGCCCUGUAGAAAGACCAGAAAACUCUAUGCCAAAUUGAUGUCCAAUGGGAGAAUACAGGGUGGGCUAGGUAAUGGUGACUACUUAAUUCUGGGAGAAAGAGAUUGGGGAUGGGGAAUAUAGGAGAUAUUAGGCAUUUUUUUUUUUUAUUAUUUGUUUUGGGGUGGGGUUUUUGGAUUUUUUAUUUUGUUUAUUUUUACGUACUUGCGUUAGGGUGAUCCCAGGGCCUUGUACAUGUUAACUGUGUACUACAUGGCACAUCUCCAGUUCCCUUAAUGUUACAUUUGACUGAGGCCAAAGUUGAACCCUGAGAAAAUAUGUAGAAAUUAAUAUGUAUUUUACAGUAGAAAUAUAUGCAUGUUAAAACAAUUAAAAUUGUUCAUAGAUAUAUUCAGUAAUUCUCCUCAUUCUGUCCUUCAGAAGGUAUUCUGUAUAUUUAUAAACAUAUAUGUAUGUUCUUCCCAUCUUGCAGAUAGGUGUUUUAUACGAAAUUUGAAAUAGUUUUAUAUAUACUAAUAUUAGUUUACUAGAGCUACUAUAACAAAAUACCAUAGCCAAUGUGGCUUAAAUAACAGGAAUAGUUUUUCUUACAGCUCUAGACCAACAGCACCGUCCAACUGUUGGCAGAGUGGCUUUCUAAUGCUUAGCUUGCAGGCUGGGCUUUUUCUGUCUUUACAGCAUUGUCCCUCUACUGCAUUAUCUGUCCUAAUGUCAUGAAAUGGCACAGCCAGAUAGACUACAGCACACUCUGACUCCAUUUUAACCUGACCACCUUUUAUUUAAAGGGCUCCCUCCCUUCCUUUCUUUUUUUCUUCAUUUUCUCUUUUUGUUUUGAUUUUUGAGACAAAGUCUCAACUCAAUUGCCCUGGCUAAACUGACACUCCAGAUCCCCCUGCAUAUACCUCAUAAAUGCUGGGAUUAAAAUGUACUACCAUGCUUGGCAGGGACCUAUUUCUAGGACUUCAGCAUAUGCUUUGAGAAAGGCACACAAUCUAGCUCUCUCAGUAGAUAGAUAAAUACUAUUGCAUAGAGUCACUGUGUCAUAUAGUGGAAAUACUAGGUUGAACUAUCUGAAGCUACAGUAAAAAAGCAGAAACAGGGCUUACGGAUGUAGCUCAGCGGUAGAUCCCUUACUGAGCAUGUGGAGAGGCCUCAGUUUAAUUACCAAUACUCUAGGAAAAAAGUUUCAGAUGGUUCAACAUAAUACUAUGGCAUUUAAUUAAUGUCCUUUUGAUGAGUCUUUUAUGUAUUCUCAAAAUAAUUCAAAUGAUACUACAGUUAGUAUCUUUGAAUUAAUGUGGUUUUGCACAUAUGUGAAUAUACCUGUUGGGUGAAAUUCUUGGGGUUACUGCAGCAAAGGAGAGAUAAUGUGUUUCUGUGGACCACUUGUGAGCUGAUCAAGAGGGAGCUGGUCCAGGGCCUGUUCUGCAAACUUUCCUGGCAGGGGCAAGGCUAUGCUAGCAGAUAGGACCCGUGCUGCUUGGCGGCGGCCGCCGUUUGGGUGAGAUGUUAGAGCAAGAAGAAAAUGGCUUGCUUGAAAUACCAGAUUAUGAACAUGUAGAGGAUGAAACUUUUCCUCCCUUCCCACCUCCGGCCUCUCCAGAGAGAGAUCCUGCAGAAGCUGAACCUGAUGAAGGAUCAGGGAGUGGAGCACCUGUUCCCCCAAAGAGAACAGAUAAAAGGAAUCUAUCUAAGCUAGAUGCUACAAGAUUGACUUCAGAGAGAGGGCUUCCAGCCUUAAGGCAUGUGUUUGAUAAGACGAAAUUCAAGGGGAAAGGUCAUGAGGCUGAAGACUUGAAAACGCUAAUCAGACACAUGGAGCACUGGGCACAUAGGCUAUUCCCCAAACUGCAGUUUGAAGAUUUUAUUGACAGAGUUGAAAACCUAGGAAAUAAAAAGGAGGUGCAGACCUGUUUAAAACGAAUUCGACUUGAUCUGCCUAUUGUACAUGAAGAUUUUGUUAACAAUAAUGAUGAAAUUGAGGAAACUAAUAGCCUUGAUGUAACUGCUACUGGAUUUGAUCCCUUUUUGACAAGUUCAUCUGACAGCAAGAAGUUUGCUUCUGAAUCAACUAGAAGCCUAAGAGAAGAGCAGCAACAGAGAAUUGAGAGAAAUAAACAGUUGGCCUUGGAAAGAAGGCAGGCAAAGCUAUUGAAUAAUAGCCAGUCCCUAGAAAAUGACGUGACAGUUGAAGAGAGCAGUACUGGUGAGGAUCAAGAAGAAUCAAAUGGAUUAAACAGAGACACUACUGAUGAUCCACAUGAUGUUCCUUCUGUCAGUACACAUGAAGAGGAACAGUUCAAAGCAGAGGAAACACAGCUGGACCAAACUAAGACUAAUCCAGAAAUGUUCUAAGUAACCAACCUUCUACAACAGAAUCCUGCAAGCUUGGGGUUAUUUGUAGGUUUUUUUCUACUUUGUAUAAAUCCUUAAGUCUUAAGACUUAUGUGGAUUCCUGCUUAAAAUACAGUGACUAUUUAAAUUGUUUCCUA